rnacentral:rRNA from 1 species
AGCGAACGCUGGCGGCAGGCCUAACACAUGCAAGUCGAACGAACCUUUCGGGGUUAGUGGCGGACGGGUGAGUAACACGUGGGAACGUGCCUUUAGGUUCGGAAUAACUCAGGGAAACUUGUGCUAAUACCGAAUGUGCCCUUCGGGGGAAAGAUUUAUCGCCUUUAGAGCGGCCCGCGUCUGAUUAUCUAGUUGGUUGAGGUAAUGGCUCACCAAGGCGACGAUCAGUAGCUGGUCUGAGAGGAUGAUCAGCGACAUUGGGACUGAGACACGGCCCAAACUCCUACGGGAGGCAGCAGUGGGGAAUCUUGCGCAAUGGGCGAAAGCCUGACGCAGCCAUGCCGCGUGAAUGAUGAAGGUCUUAGGAUUGUAAAAUUCUUUCAACGGGGACGAUAAUGACGGUACCCGGAGAAGAAGCCCCGGCUAACUUCGUG